rnacentral:tRNA from 1 species
ACCUGGCUGGCUCAGUCGGUGGGGCAAGCGACUCCUGAUCUCAGGGUUGUGGGUUCAAGCCCCGUGUUGGGUG